UACGGGGGGGGCAAGCGUUGUUCGGAAUUACUGGGCGUAAAGGGCUCGUAGGCGGCCAACUAAGUCCGACGUGAAAUCCCCAGCUUAACCUGGGAACUGCGUCGGAUACUGGAUGGCUUGAAUUCGGGAGAGGGAUGCAGAAUUCCAGGUGUAGCGGUGAAAUGCGUAGAUAUCUGGAGGAAUACCGGUGGCGAAGGCGGCAUCCUGGACCGGCAUUGACGCUGAUGAGCGAAAGCUAGGGAGCAAACGGG
rnacentral:rRNA from 1 species